rnacentral:rRNA from 1 species
UCGCAUCUGUGCAUGCAGCAUAUCAAUAAGCGGAGGAAAAGAAACUAACAAGGAUUCCCCUAGUAACGGCGAGUGAAGCGGGAAGAGCUCAAAUUUGAAAUCUUAAAGGGUUUCCCUUUACGAAUUGUAGUUUAAAGAAGUGUUUUCUGUUGAGGUUUUGGUAAAAGUUCUUUGGAAUAGGACAUCAUAGAGGGUGAGAAUCCCGUAUUUGACCUUUACUUUCAACUUUGUGAUACACUUUCAAAGAGUCGGAUUGUUUGGGAAUGCAGUCCAAAAUGGGUGGUAAAUUUCAUCUAAAGCUAAAUAUUGGCGAGAGACCGAUAGCGAACAAGUACCGUGAGGGAAAGAUGAAAAGAACUUUGAAAAGAGAGUUAAACAGUACGUGAAAUUGUCAAAAGGGAAGCGUUUGACACCAGUGUUGUUUUUCUGAAAAUCAAUUAAGGAACUGUUUAUGCUAAGUUGUUUAGACUUUAUCAGCUAACUGUUUAGUUUCAGGCUUUUCUUUAAUGCACUUUUCAGUUAACAAGUCAACAUCAAUUUCUUUUGCAUGUAAAAAAGCUUGAGGAAGGUGGCUUGAGAUUCGUCUUAAGUGUUUAUAGCCUCUUGCCUAUGCAGUCGGAGAGAUUGAGGUCUGCAGCGUAGAUCCUUCGGGGCUAAAUGCAUUUGUGCUAAGUUAUAGCAUUUUAUAGACAACUUGUUGACUAUGAUUUGUCUUGUAGCUUACUCGCUUAUGUUAUUUUACCUACGCUUAGGAUGUUGACAGCAGUAUAGACUGU